rnacentral:rRNA from 1 species
ACGCUCGACACCUACGGGAGGCAGCAGUGGGGAAUAUUGCACAAUGGGGGAAACCCUGACGCAGCGACGCCGCGUGGAGGAAGAAGGUCUUCGGAUUGUAAACUCCUGUUGUUGGGGAAAAAGAGGAUGGUACCCAACAAGGAAGUGACGGCUAACUACGUGCUAGCAGCCGCGGUAAUCUGAGCGGGCUGGCAAGGC